GGAGUGCUUGCACUCUGUGAAACAAGAUACAGGCUAGCGGCGGACGGGUGAGUAACACGUGGGUAACCUGCCCAAGAGAUCGGGAUAACACCUGGAAACAGAUGCUAAUACCGGAUAACGACAGAUGAUGCCUAUCAACUGUUUAAAAGAUGGUUCUGCUAUCACUCUUGGAUGGACCUGCGGUGCAUUAGCUAGUUGGUAGGGUAACGGCCUACCAAGGCGAUGAUGCAUAGCCGAGUUGAGAGACUGAUCGGCCACAUUGGGACUGAGACACGGCCCAAACUCCUACGGGAGGCAGCAGUAGGGAAUCUUCCACAAUGGACGCAAGUCUGAUGGAGCAACGCCGCGUGAGUGAAGAAGGGUUUCGGCUCGUAAAGCUCUGUUGUUGGUGAAGAAGGACAGGGGUAGUAACUGACCUUUGUUUGACGGUAAUCAAUUAGAAAGUCACGGCUAACUACGUGCCAGCAGCCGCGGUAAUACGUAGGUGGCAAGCGUUGUCCGGAUUUAUUGGGCGUAAAGCGAGUGCAGGCGGUUCGAUAAGUCUGAUGUGAAAGCCUUCGGCUCAACCGGAGAAUUGCAUCAGAAACUGUCGAGCUUGAGUACAGAAGAGGAGAGUGGAACUCCAUGUGUAGCGGUGAAAUGCGUAGAUAUAUGGAAGAACACCGGUGGCGAAGGCGGCUCUCUGGUCUGUUACUG
rnacentral:rRNA from 1 species